AGCUUCUAAAUUCCAUCUCAACCAAGAAACCAGCGACACCAUCAAGUGUAAGGGAAGAGGGAAGAGACUGGGAGGGACGAGUAGAGAUGCUGGGUGACUGAGAAAGAAUAAGACUGACUAUUCUUUGAACAAAUGAAUGAGGGCUAACACAUCCAAAUAGUACUCUUUUUUCCAUGUUGCCAUGACUCACAACAUUUUCAAUCCAUCCCUAGAGCCUGUUGGAUGAUUCAAAAACACACCCCGCCCCCAGCCUCCAGUCCUCCUCUGUGAGUGGAUUUGAGUUCUGGAAACAACUGAAACCAUUUGUGAGUAAAUAUGAGAAAGCUGAGAAACACUAUUAUUUGGUCAAACCACUCUAGCCAGAGGAAACCAGGAAUGGAAGAGAAUAUAAACCUAACUGCAAACAUCAUUUUCAAAGAGAUAUUUCAAGCACUAAGAUACUGUAUAGAAGAAGACUUCCAACGUGACUAUUUUAAAGGAAAGAUUUCAUUCUGUGUGGAUAGAACAAAUAUAUACAGAUUUUUUAAAAAUCUGUAUAACUUCAUAAUGCUACACUCACAGAAGCUGUCCUCAAUUCUCUCUCUACAUAUGAACCCUGCCUGUCCAGGGUGUCUUCCUUGCCUAUCAUGGCGAAAAGCAAUGAGCUUGUCUGAAAAAGGGGUAAACUUGGAGAAAACAUUGUCGUGCUCAAAAUCCACGUCUCAACUACUUAUUCUCUCUCCAAUGCUGAGCAAGUUGCUUAAGCUCCCUGAGCUUUGGUUUUCUUAUCUGUGUGAUGAGCAUAAAGCACAAUACCAUCCUUCUGCACUGAGCCAUGGGAUGCAUGACAAAAAACACGUCCUUAGAUGUAAUGAAUGCUCGGAUAAUUGGAGCCAAAGGAGAACUUGUAAACGUCCUGCCAAAAGCCAAGCCACUCAUUCUCUGAGAGUCAAGUUUCUUAUCUAGCCCAAACAGCCCCGUGCAUGAGCCAUCCCUGCACCUCUGUGAG
rnacentral:lncRNA from 1 species